rnacentral:rRNA from 1 species
AGUGAACGCUGGCGGUAGGCCUAACACAUGCAAGUCGAACGGCAGCACAGUAAGAGCUUGCUCUUACGGGUGGCGAGUGGCGGACGGGUGAGGAAUACAUCGGAAUCUACUUUUUCGUGGGGGAUAACGUAGGCAAACUUACGCUAAUACCGCAUACGACCUACGGGUGAAAGCAGGGGAUCUUCGGACCUUGCGCGAUUGAAUGAGCCGAUGUCGGAUUAGCUAGUUGGCGGGGUAAGGCCCACCAAGGCGACGAUCCGUAGCUGGUCUGAGAGGAUGAUCAGCCACACUGGAACUGAGACACGGUCCAGACUCCUACGGGAGGCAGCAGUGGGGAAUAUUGGACAAUGGGCGCAAGCCUGAUCCAGCCAUACCGCGUGGGUGAAGAAGGCCUUCGGGUUGUAAAGCCCUUUUGUUGGGAAAGAAAAGCAGCAGGUUAAUACCCCGCUGUUCUGACGGUACCCAAAGAAUAAGCACCGGCUAACUUCGU